rnacentral:rRNA from 1 species
CAGUCGCCGCGGGAAUACAGAGGGUGCGAGCGUUAAUCGGAUUUACUGGGCGUAAAGCGUGCGUAGGCGGCUUCUUAAGUCGGAUGUGAAAUCCCUGAGCUUAACUUAGGAAUUGCAUUCGAUACUGGGAAGCUAGAGUAUGGGAGAGGAUGGUAGAAUUCCAGGUGUAGCGGUGAAAUGCGUAGAGAUCUGGAGGAAUACCGAUGGCGAAGGCAGCCAUCUGGCCUAAUACUGACGCUGAGGUACGAAAGCAUGGGGAGCAAACAGGAUUAGAUACCCCUGUAGUCCCUGUCUCUAUACA